UAUGAGGUAGUAAUUCUGAGAAAAAGAGAGAGAGAGGCUGAGUUUGUAAUCGUUUGAAUGAAGAAAGUAAGCCCUCUGGGAAUCAAGGAGAGGGGUUGGGAAGGUUGGCUCCAACUUAGUGGGCAUGCAUGGAUUUUUGGCACUUCUGCUGAUAAGAAAGUCAAGCUGUUUCCUGUAACAAGCUGGGGUAGCCAGGGUGCGGGAGUGCAGAUGAAUCACCUACAAAGCAAAGGACACACAGAAAGCCAGAAGGCUGAGAACCAUCCAAUUCAAGGACAGGGACAUUAGUUCAGAGCUAGAAUGAUUGCUGGUACCCUAUCUCUUUUUCUUCUUGCUAUGACAGAAUGUAUGACAGGAGCAGUUUAAGGAAGAAAGGAUAUUUUUGGGGGGCUCUUGUUUUGAAGGGAUACUGUCAAUCGGGGCUGCGGCAAGCCAUGUGGCACAGUUGACUCUUAGUCAGUGACUGAGUGGGGUGUGACCCACGGUGAGUGUGACUCACUCCUUGGUUGGACCAGGAAGCUCAACUGGCUUUGUUUCUAUCCCUUUUAUUCAGUGAGGAUCCCCAGCACAUAGGAUGGGCCAUCUAUAUUCCUCCCCUGGUUAGUCUAUUCAGAAAUUGCUUCACACGUGCACACAUAAAGAUGCCUCAUUAAUUACCCGGUUACUUAUUAAUCCGACCAAGCAAGCACAGGGCCCUGAGCUCCAUCCCUGUACUACAAAAUAAUAAUAAUAACAAACAACAGAAACAAUUGUCAUAAUGAUAAUAAAAUAAUACAAGAGAAGGGAAUUAAAGUCCUUUAUCCCAAAGAAUGUUGAAGGGGAGGUCCCUGCUGAAAUAGCAUUAGGGAAAACUGGCGAAGCACCACUGGCCAUAGCCAAAUUAGAAGGACAUGUUGGCAGCUAGACUUCCUCAAAUCUAAGCUGCAUGACAUGACAUGGUCUUUCUGAACACCGACGACAGAAUUAUGGAAAACCUGUGAGUCUUCAGUCUCUUUAUCAUCUGCUGAGGGUCAGAGGCCCCAGAAGAAAGGAAGCAGGGGACCCUCGGGUCUCACGUAUCAUGUGCUGGCCUCCAGCUCCACCUCAUUGUGGAAGAGAAUAUGGCCUUAUGCUCAAGCUCAUUAGUGCCCAAUGGGAUGUGACAAAGCGCUUGCAAUGUGUGGUCAGAGUUUCUUCCUGGUCAGGCUGACUGGUGAUGGCUGUUUCUCACCCUGAGGACUCAGGACUCUCUUCGGCAGCUGGGCCACAGGAAUGUCAUUUCUUACUGUGUCUGGUUUUGAUUUUCCUUGUACUGCUGGUGACGAACACUAGGCCCUAUGUAAGCAAGGCAAUGACCUGGAAAUGUAGGAUGAAAUCAACUGUUUCUUCCUUUGAAAAAAGAAAUGAUAGACAAACGCAAUGGCCAUGCACUCAUACAGAAUGUUUUCUCUCAUCAUGGAGCUACCUCAUGAUCCUGCUGCUGUGGGGAGUAACUCCCUGAAGCCCUGUAGGCCGCAUCUCAUGCCCUUUCUCUUCUCAUUUCUCUCUAUCCACGCGGCAUACAGUCCUGCUGCCCUUUAGAAAAAGGGACAGAGAGCUUUGACAGAGACAACUGGGAUGAUGAAUGGAAUUUAAUUUAUGCAAGUCCUCUAAUUAUGGCGAUGACCUACAUUCUCCUCUCACUGACAGAGCACACACUCACCUUGAAAGCUGCUGACUAGCUAGAAAGACUGGAGUGAGAGCAUGCUCUGCGAGUCACAGCCCCCAACUGUGAGCACUAAAGAAUUCCUGAAUGACCAGGCAAGUCUACAGACUCCAUGUAAGAUUUAAAAAAAAAAACUCCUAAAAACUAUUCUAUUCACAGUAAUAAAAAAUAUUCUCAGGGUGAGACAAAGCCUUCCUUCCAUAGAUGACAAAGAAAUGAGCAAAUGGCUUUAUUUGGAAGUGCAAAGCUUGAGUCUGUGUGUCAUGUUGGGCCCGUUAAUUAUGCUUGUAAUUUGUGUCAUCGAUGAGUCAUCAGCUCCAUGAGUUAUAAAUAUAUAGCAAUUCCAUUCUUCCUUAAGUAAUUGGUUAUGAGGGUAGGUGAACAGCAUCGUCAUUUUAGAAGUCAUGUGGCCAUUUUCUUUGACAUCCCAAGGGGAUAGUAGCUUUGAAGCACUACAUUUGUUCUUGAAGCCACUGUCCCAAUUUGGUGUUGAAAGUUGUCCCAAGUAUGUUGUUCACACGGAGUCAUUUUGCUUGUUUAUAUAGAGUGAUUUCUCUUCCUCAGGACAAUGCAGGAAAAUGGAUAUAGUGUAGAUGUUUGUUUAUGAGCCUCAGUGGUAAUAUUUCACUGAAAAAAUUAGACUGUUUUCUAUGCAAGGACCAGAAAUGUGGGCUAUUCCCUCAUUGGUUUUUUAUUUAUUUUGU
rnacentral:sRNA from 1 species